AAACUCAAUUGAUGCUGGUUCCUCCAAUUCCAGAACUUACCUGCUCAUCUCAUCUCUCUGGUGAAACCCUAGCGCCGUCCUUGGCGUAAACGCUAGAACCUUCUCUCUUCUGAGCUUCUCUGCUGCUUCAUAGCCCUAGUCCAGCUCUAAUCCUCUGCCAAAAUCUCGAACCCAAAGCAGUGGAACUUCGGUCGACAGACCUGGUGACAAGAGAGACAACCAGAGAAGGCGGUUGAGAUCUUAUACAGCAAGCCAGAGAACAAAACUGAAAAGGUAUGAAAUUGCUUUCCUUUGGCAAUAGUGAAAAGUUAUCUGUAAAUAUAGUCCCUGGAAGAAGAUGGAUGCUCAAUGUAGAGAUCUGAUCCCUGCUCUCUAGAAUGAAGUUGGAUUCCACGAUAAAAUCAAUUGACAAUAGAAAGAGUAGCACAAGUUCCUAUCUUCCAGAUUGAUUGAGUAGACCUACGAGAAUCCCAUUUAAGGCAAACAUCUCAAUUUGUAGGACUACGAUAGAAGCUAUAUACGAGCUUUCGUAGAAGGUUACAGGCGACAACUUCAAGGCAUGCUUCCCCGCAAAGAAAACUUUCUGCUGCUCCAUCGAGUCGUUGCUUAAGUACCAUUCUGAAGGGUGUCAUCAACGGUGAGCCUGUGAUUCUGAACUAAUUUUGAAACAACCAAACCGAAUAGGUAUGCGAAGGGCAAGAGGGACAGUUUCAUAGGAUUAAUUGCAUGGCGAUGGAUGAAAUGAUACUGCACUGCCGAGCAAAUGCAUUGAGCAAUGCCAAGACUUAAUCCAGUAAUUUCGGCGAAUGAACCAAAAAGUUUGUUAUUUGGAGGUGGAUAGUAAAAGCACCAUAGCAUUCCCCUCCUCCUCAGUACAACUCUUUCCUUUUUACCAUUGUGAAUAAGCUCCCAGAUGCAAACAAGUACUGCCACGAUUGCCAACAGCAUACCAAUUAGUGCAUAGUGAGGCUUACCUGGGGAGGAAACCUGAUCAAAAAAAGCAGACAGACUCUCGAUGGCAAAGCUAGUGUAUAACACGAUCUGCUCUGAUGAAGUAGCCUGCAUAAGUUAUACCAACUUCAAUUCAGUUCUU